GGCCCGGUGGCGGAUGGUUCCGCGCACGCACUCAAUGCCGAAGUAAUAGAUAGGGUUUUGUGGGAGGCGCUCGUUCGAUUCGAGCCCGGGUCA